GACGAACGCUGGCGGCGUGCUUAACACAUGCAAGUCGAACGGAAAGGCCCUGCUUUUGUUGGGUGCUCGAGUGGCGAACGGGUGAGUAACACGUGAGUAACCUGCCCUUGACUUUGGGAUAACUUCAGGAAACUGGGGCUAAUACCGGAUAGGAGCUCCUGCUGCAUGGUGGGGGUUGGAAAGUUUCGGCGGUUGGGGAUGGACUCGCGGCUUAUCAGCUUGUUGGUGGGGUAGUGGCUUACCAAGGCUUUGACGGGUAGCCGGCCUGAGAGGGUGACCGGCCACAUUGGGACUGAGAUACGGCCCAGACUCCUACGGGAGGCAGCAGUGGGGAAUAUUGAACAAUGGGCGGAAGCCUGAUGCAGCAACGCCGCGUGCGGGAUGACGGCCUUCGGGUUGUAAACCGCUUUCGCCUGUGACGAAGCGGGAGUGACGGUAAUGGGUAAAGAAGCACCGGCUAACUACGUG
rnacentral:rRNA from 1 species